rnacentral:rRNA from 1 species
UACGUAGGGUGCAAGCGUUAAUCGGAAUUACUGGGCGUAAAGCGUGCGCAGGCGGUUAUGUAAGACAGUUGUGAAAUCCCCGGGCUCAACCUGGGAAUUGCAUCUGUGACUGCAUAGCUAGAGUACGGUAGAGGGGGAUGGAAUUCCGCGUGUAGCAGUGAAAUGCGUAGAUAUGCGGAGGAACACCGAGUGGCGAAGGCAAUCCCCUGGACCUGUACUGACGCUCAUGCAUGAAAGCGUGGGGAGCAAACGAGG